AUGACAGUCCUGUAAGCAAACGAUGUUCAAAACCAAAAGCACAAUCCUAACCUCUGGCCGACCCCCUUCUUGAAACGGGUGACUUGUAGUUUAAGCUGGGCAGACAUUUGACACCCCAGUCACCUGACCAACACGGAGUCAGGGGAAGAGGAGAGAGCAGUUAGCAUCCAGGAAGCAAGCUGGGUCACACAAUCCCAAAGGGGGCUAGCAACUGGACAGUGUUGUCUGUUGGAGGGAGUUGGCACUCGACUCUUCAGGAAGAUGUGGAGGAGAGUUUAGAAAGAAACUGAUUUUGGUCACUUGCUAUUAAUAGAAUGUCCCAGCAGGCUAUAUUCCUCUGUAAAUUUCUAAUUGUAAGGAAGGAGAGGUGAGUUUUUCUUACAGUUCACUAUGAGAUGAGCAACUUCUUUAAGGAAAGAAAUAUUAGCUCUCCCAUGAUGCAGGACCUCUCAGAACAAAGAAAUAACUCAGCUUAAGCUUACAUUUCUAUUUGCUAGCAGGGAUAUCCUAGCUUGGAGAAGGACAUUUUUUGUUUCCCACACAACAAAAAUUUAUUGAAAAAUAAAGUUCCCCCUAGUUUUCUCUACAACCAUGGAAAACAAAGCAGUGUUCUCUAUGCCGGUACAGUGCACUUGGACAGCGACACCUUAUUUGUAGAAUCCUGCACUACGGAAGGGCACACGU